rnacentral:rRNA from 1 species
UACGGGGGGAGCAAGCGUUGUUCGGAUUCAUUGGGCGUCAAGGGUGCGUAGGCGGCGCGGUAAGUCGGGUGUGAAAUCUCGGAGCUUAACUCCGAAACUGCAUUCGAUACUGCCGUGCUUGAGGACUGGAGAGGAGACUGGAAUUUACGGUGUAGCAGUGAAAUGCGUAGAUAUCGUAAGGAAGACCAGUGGCGAAGGCGAAUCUCUGGACAGUUACUGACACUGAGGCACGAAGGCCAGGGGAGCAAACGGG